ACUAUGCACCAUUAUUUCUUCCGGCUGUCCUUACCAUUCUCCUGUUGUCUGUUGCAGUCUUUAGAAGAAAUCAUGAUGGAGACGCGCACCCCUCUGGAAUGGCACUUCAAGCAGUUGGACCAUUCCAUGGGACUCAGCUUUAGAAAUAAUUUCAAUUUUGCUUUAGUUGGUCACUUACUCAAAGGGUUCCGACACACGUCUCCUACAACGGUAUCUCGGACUAUUCGGGUCCUGAAUCAGUUACUGGUCAUCACUGUGAAACCAUUAAAUAGGGAUAAGUUUGAAGUCACCCCUCAGACGGUUCCAUAUUUGGCAGCAUUGGUUUCUGUGUCCGAAGAGGUCCGCAGUCGAUGUCAUCUGAAGCAUCGGGUCAGCCAGUAUGUGAUGACCGACUCACCGUCCUCGGACAGCAUCAAUGCUGCCGAGCCAGAAACGCCGAACACGAGCAUCGGACCCAGUGCAUCGGCGCACUCCAUGUCUUCGCCCUCCAUCCAGACGCCCGCCAAUGCCCAGCCCUCCAUAACACCUGUCACUCGUCGCCAGAAGAGCUGGGACAUUCUUGAUAAGAGCGCCAUCUCUGUGGCCAGGAACAACACACAUUUGAUGCAAAAUCAGAGUUUUUGGUUGCUGCCAAGGGAGCCCUCCUUCGAUGGGGGCUCAGCAAACAAGAGGGCACAGCUCCAGGUGAACAGUCCCAAAGUUUGGCGUAGCUUUGAUGCAGAUUCUUCCACCCGGCCGCCAUUGUUUAAGACUCGUAGCAGUUCCAUGCCAACCCCAGGCUCAAAGAAGUUAGACAGCUCCAAGUCCGGCUUGAACUUGCCGCGCAGCGGACGUGGAUCGGUGUCGAAUGAAAACAACGUGUUGCUAGAUCCUGAAGUGCUGACAGGUUACGAUACGCAAGUCCUCGUACUCACUGUCUUGGCAACUUUGGUCCGUAACACAACAGAUGAAAAUGAAGCUCGAAUAUUGUACGAAUAUUUAGCGGAGGCGUCAGUUGUCUUUCCUCGUGUUUUUCCUGUGAUACAUAGUCUCCUUGAUGCCAAAAUCAAUUCGGUGUUAUCGUUAAGCCAAGACCAGGCCAUCCUCAACGCCGUACAAAGCAUCAUCCAAAAUAUGAUUGCCUGCGAGGACUCAUCCCAGCAGCAGCUGUCGUUUCUCCAGAGUAUUGGGUUUGGUGGACUGUGGAGGUUUGCUGGUGUAUUUUCCAAGGAGAAAACUUGAGCGUGAAUUGAGAAGCCUGAGAUGGAGACGUUUAGCAGCUAGCCCUGAUCAAGCACACAGACUUACCUGAAGACAACGCAACCGAGCGACAACGCAGAGCUGUUUGUCAAGGUUUGCAAAUUGAUGGUUGAAACAUGUCUCCCCAGCGGCGAACCUGACCUCUUCAACUCCUCCUCCCACUACUACAACAACAACAACAACAACAACA
rnacentral:misc_RNA from 1 species